rnacentral:rRNA from 1 species
CGUUAAUCGGGGCAGGGUGAGUCGACCCCUAAGGCGAGGCCGAAAGGCGUAGUCGAUGGGAAACGGGUUAAUAUUCCCGUACUUGGUGUUACUGCGAAGGGGGGACGGAGAAGGCUAUGUUGGCCGGGCGACGGUUGUCCCGGUUUAAGCGUGUAGGUGUGUGUUCCAGGUAAAUCCGGUUCACUUUAACACUGAGGCGUGAUGACGAGGCACUACGGUGCUGAAGCAACAAAUGCCCUGCUUCCAGGAAAAGCCUCUAAGCAUCAGGUAACAUCAAAUCGUACCCCAAACCGACACAGGUGGUCAGGUAGAGAAUACCAAGGCGCUUGAGAGAACUCGGGUGAAGGAACUAGGCAAAAUGGUGCCGUAACUUCGGGAGAAGGCACGCUGACACGUAGGUGAAGUGAUUUACUCAUGGAGCUGAAGUCAGUCGAAGAUACCAGCUGGCUGCAACUGUUUAUUAAAAACACAGCACUGUGCAAACACGAAAGUGGACGUAUACGGUGUGACGCCUGCCCGGUGCCGGAAGGUUAAUUGAUGGGGUCAGCGCAAGCGAAGCUCCUGAUCGAAGCCCCGGUAAACGGCGGCCGUAACUAUAACGGUCCUAAGGUAGCGAAAUUCCUUGUCGGGUAAGUUCCGACCUGCACGAAUGGCGUAAUGAUGGCCAGGCUGUCUCCACCCGAGACUCAGUGAAAUUGAACUCGCUGUGAAGAUGCAGUGUACCCGCGGCAAGACGGAAAGACCCCGUGAACCUUUACUAUAGCUUGACACUGAACAUUGAGCCUUGAUGUGUAGGAUAGGUGGGAGGCUUUGAAGUGUGGACGCCAGUCUGCAUGGAGCCGGCCUUGAAAUACCACCCUUUAAUGUUUGAUGUUCUAACGUGGACCCGUGAUCCGGGUUGCGGACAGUGUCUGGUGGGUAGUUUGACUGGGGCGGUCUCCUCCUAAAGAGUAACGGAGGAGCACGAAGGUUGGCUAAUCCUGGUCGGACAUCAGGAGGUUAGUGCAAUGGCAUAAGCCAGCUUGACUGCGAGCGUGACGGCGCGAGCAGGUGCGAAAGCAGGUCAUAGUGAUCCGGUGGUUCUGAAUGGAAGGGCCAUCGCUCAACGGAUAAAAGGUACUCCGGGGAUAACAGGCUGAUACCGCCCAAGAGUUCAUAUCGACGGCGGUGUUUGGCACCUCGAUGUCGGCUCAUCACAUCCUGGGGCUGAAGUAGGUCCCAAGGGUAUGGCUGUUCGCCAUUUAAAGUGGUACGCGAGCUGGGUUUAGAACGUCGUGAGACAGUUCGGUCCCUAUCUGCCGUGGGCGCUGGAGAACUGAGGGGGGCUGCUCCUAGUACGAGAGGACCGGAGUGGACGCAUCACUGGUGUUCGGGUUGUCAUGCCAAUGGCACUGCCCGGUAGCUAAAUGCGGAAGAGAUAAGUGCUGAAAGCAUCUAAGCACGAAACUUGCCCCGAGAUGAGUUCUCCCUGAGACUUAGAGUCUCCUGAAGGAACGUUGAAGACGACGACGUUGAUAGGCCGGGUGUGUAAGCGCAGCGAUGCGUUGAGCUAACCGGUACUAAUGAACCGUGAGGCUUAACCUUACA